rnacentral:rRNA from 1 species
AUUGAACGCUGGCGGCAGGCUUAACACAUGCAAGUCGAGCGGAGUGAUGGUGCUUGCACUAUCACUUAGCGGCGGACGGGUGAGUAAUGCUUAGGAAUCUGCCUAUUAGUGGGGGACAACAUCUCGAAAGGGAUGCUAAUACCGCAUACGUCCUACGGGAGAAAGCAGGGGAUCACUUGUGACCUUGCGCUAAUAGAUGAGCCUAAGUCGGAUUAGCUAGUUGGUGGGGUAAAGGCCUACCAAGGCGACGAUCUGUAGCGGGUCUGAGAGGAUGAUCCGCCACACUGGGACUGAGACACGGGCCAGACUCCUACGGGAGGCAGCAGUGGGGAAUAUUGGACAAUGGGGGGAACCCUGAUCCAGCCAUGCCGCGUGUGUGAAGAAGGCCUUAUGGUUGUAAAGCACUUUAAGCGAGGAGGAGGCUCUUUUGGUUAAUACCCAAGAUGAGUGGACGUUACUCGCAGAAUAAGCACCGGCUAACUCUGUGCCAGCCGCCGCGGUAC